GACGUAGGGCGCGAGCGUUGUUCGGAUUCACUGGGCGUAAAGGGUGCGUAGGCGGUGUGUCACGUCGGCCGUGAAAACCUGCAGCUUAACUGUGGGCGUGCGGUCGAUACGGGCAUCACUGGAGUUCGGCAGGGGAGACUGGAAUUCCUGGUGUAGCGGUGAAAUGCGCAGAUAUCAGGAGGAACACCGGUGGCGAAGGCGGUUCUCUGGGCAAUGUCCUGACGCUGAGGAGCGAAAGUGUCGGGGAGCGAACAGG
rnacentral:rRNA from 1 species